rnacentral:rRNA from 1 species
UCGAACGGCAGCACAGGAGAGCUUGCUCUCUGGGUGGCGAGUGGCGGACGGGUGAGGAAUACAUCGGAAUCUACCUUUUCGUGGGGGAUAACGUAGGGAAACUUACGCUAAUACCGCAUACGACCUACGGGUGAAAGUGGGGGACCGCAAGGCCUCACGCGAUUAGAUGAGCCGAUGUCCGAUUAGCUAGUUGGCGGGGUAAUGGCCCACCAAGGCGACGAUCGGUAGCUGGUCUGAGAGGAUGAUCAGCCACACUGGAACUGAGACACGGUCCAGACUCCUACGGGAGGCAGCAGUGGGGAAUAUUGGACAAUGGGCGCAAGCCUGAUCCAGCCAUACCGCGUGGGUGAAGAAGGCCUUCGGGUUGUAAAGCCCUUUUGUUGGGAAAGAAAUCCUAUCGGUUAAUAACCGGUGGGGAUGACGGUACCCAAAGAAUAAGCACCGGCUAACUUCG